GGGCAGCUGAUGCAGCACGCCGCGUGCGGGAAGACAGCCCUAGGGUUGUAAACCGCUUUCAGUAGGGAAGAAAAUGACGGUACCUACAGAAGAAGGUGCGGCCAACUACGUGCCAGCAGCCGCGGUGACACGUAGGCACCAAGCGUUAUCCGGAUUUAUUGGGCGUAAAGAGCUCGUAGGCGGUUUGGUAAGUCGGGUGUGAAAACUCAGGGCUUAACCCUGAGACGCCACCCGAUACUGCCAUGACUUGAGUACGGUAGGGGAGCGGGGAACUCCUGGUGUAGCGGUGAAAUGCGCAGAUAUCAGGAAGAACACCGGUGGCGAAGGCGCCGCUCUGGGCCGUAACUGACGCUGAGGAGCGAAAGCGUGGGUAGCAAACAGGAUUAGAUACCCUGGUAGUCCACGCCGUAAACGUUGGGCACUAGGUGUGGGUCUCAACUAACGAGAUCCGCGCCGUAGCUAACGCAUUAAGUGCCCCGCCUGGGGAGUACGGUCGCAAGACUAAAACUCAGAGGAAAUUGACGGA
rnacentral:rRNA from 1 species